CUCGGGUCAGAGCGAAGGCGAGGCGCUCUUCCCGCCGCUCCCCUCAAAGGCUCAAACUGCCAAAGUACACACGCGCGCCGCGCAGCGUCCGUCGCACCCCACCACGGCGGCGCAACCACCCACGCCUCGCCUCCCUCGCCGCCCGGCCGGAACCUUCUCAAUCUCACCGACUACCCGCCGGGCUCCUAUCCGCGCUUACCGUGCUCGACGCGUUCCCCGCCUCCUCUCGUGCCCACCGACGCCGCGGCGGCGGGAUCGGCGUCCGAUUCACGCGCGCCUUCUACGCCACCGAGCCGUGCGGUGCAGCCGCUCCCGCGUGUGAUCCUGCGCGGCCCGGUCUUGCACUGGAUGGAUCGCGGGGCGUGGGCUGCCAUUGCCUGGCCUCGGACGCGUGAUUUACCCAGGCGAAGUCGUCUGCUCUCGCAAGGGCGCGGUUCCUAUGGCACACGGCUGAAUUUCAGGGCAUGGUGCAUCAUUUGACGAAUUUCUAGUUCAAAGUUGCCCAGUUCUACAAUCUGCACAGGUUGGGGUGAGUAACGUGAGUGGACACCUUGAUUUUGCCAGGCUGCAAACAAUGGGGAAUGUCAUCACAAGUACAUCUUUAAGUGCUCUCUUGGGAACCAAAUUUCAACUCAUUCAGUCUGGGAAGUUCCCUUUUUUUCUGUUACACUCAAUGUCAUGGUUAUAAUAUUUUUAUAGUAGCAUAAUACAGUGAAUGCAUGAAACGGUGUUUGGUGUUCCCAAGUGGAUGUGUGUUGUUCAUGAUGUUUGUCCACCUCUGGUGGUUUUACCUGAACACUAUUUUCAAGUUGGUAAUACUCCAUUACAUACUCCCUCCGUCCGAAAAUAUUUGUCAUCAAAAUGAAUAAAAAGAGAUGUAUCUAGAACUAAAAUACAUCUAGAUACAUCCCCUUUUAUCCAUUUUGAUGACAAGUAUUUCCGGACGGAGGGAGUACUAUUAAAUUUAAAUACAUUCAUGCUGAAACUCUUUGUACUUGUACUAUACUGGUGUGUGCUUCUGCUGUCUCACCUAUAUAAUGUACCUGGGUAUUCAGAUAUGCGCCCAUUCUCUCACCUCAAGUAAUGUUUGUUCUACUUUAUUUCAUUGUUAUUUUACAUGUGACUGAUGUGAAACAUUUUCUCAUCUACCAAUAUGUACAUAAAAUGGAAAAUGAAAGAGAGUAGCAGCAAAUAGAUGUUUGACUUGAACAUUGGAUCCUGUGAGUUGAGGGAGCAAGGAGCAUGGGUCCCGUUUUUUGGGUGUCUUCCUGAGGAUACAGUACUUUUCGGUACCAAUGGUGUAUCUCCACCUACGGCUCAUAUAUAUGCUUGAUUUGCCUGACUGUGUGAGAAUGAAUAUAAUGGCUACUCGUGCAUCCAUGUGAAGUCACUCACUGUCUUUAAUAUCCCAUCUGAAAAGCAUAAUUUUGAACAAUCUGUGUGCUUUGAUACCCAGGCUGGCACAUCUAGGCCCAACAGGUUCAAAUUUGUUGAUAUCCGUAUCCUAUGAUUCUUGCCCGAAGUAAUAAUAUCAGGUCAGACAAGCUUUAGGUCUUGAACCUUUAUAAGUUUGA